rnacentral:lncRNA from 1 species
GUUUGCUCCGAUGUCUGAUGAUCCUUGACUAUCCAUUCGUAUUUAAGGAUGGGGCCUUAAAACUGUUGGAAGCUCUCUAUACCUUAUCAGGACUUAUCAACUGGUCGGCCUCAUUUUAGGGAGUGCUUAAAAGCGGAGAACCUUUGCCAGCUGUGGUCAGAGGGAGUCGUGACUGUGGAAGAAAGGCACAGAGAGACUCAACGCUGCUGGCUUUGAAGAUGGAGGAAGAGGGCCCUGAGCCAAGGAAUGCAAUGGGCCUGUAGAAGCUGGAAAAGCUCUUCAGAACCUGAAAGGCAGCAUAGCUCCUGGGACUGUGUGUGUGUUAUACAGCGGCUAAGGAGGAAGAUGAUUUGUUUCGGGCUGUGCAGAGUGAGUGAAGAUGGAGCUGCAGUUAGUGUCCAUGGAACAGAUGCAACACUAUCUGCCUCACCCUACCUGUGACUAUCCUCUCACUGGUUGGCAGGGCUUGAAGGAAGAAACAUAAUCCACCCAAGCUCCCAGCAAGCAGGAGUCCCUAAGAGUCAGGACCAGGAUCUCAUAGCAAAGUGGAAUUCAUCUCUAAAAAGAGGUUUAUGGCUGACCAGACUUCAUCAGUUCAGAUAUGUCUGCCCCCAUAGGGAAGGUGAGUGUAUGGUCAAGACCAGAGCUCAGUAUUUCAGAGAACUCUCUGGUUAGAUUCCACAUCAGAGUGAAUUACUGUCCUGUCACAAUUCUUGUAACACAUGGUAUCUCUGUUAAAGCACAUAAUACAUUCUACCUUGAAUUAGAGUCACUCGUGUUCAUGUUUUUCUCACCUAAUAGACUGUAAGCUUCUUGGUCAGGGUCCACAUUCCCAGCACAUGCCUAGCAUAAUGCAGGCAUUCUGUGUUCAAUUGAAUUGGCAUGAAGAGUGCUAUAUCCUCUUUAGAGGAUUAACCUAGGAUAAAGCUUUAUAUAAACACAAGUUUCCUGAAUGUCAGCAGUGAAGCAGCACCACACUGAAGUCAGGAACCUCCACUCAGAGAAGCAGAAGGCUCUUUGUGGUCAUCGUCUUGGGAACUAUGGCCUCCUUAUUGUUAUUUCCUAGAAAUUGAGGGAAAAAAUAUUGUGCUUAAUAUGCAUUCAAUUUACUUUGGUGCCAGUUGGUUUUCUAUUUAGAAAUUUUCUACUGAUAUUCACAUGGAACUCAGAAACUGGGAGCAUCUUAAUCCAUAAAUUUCAGCCAGAAAUUCUCCCAAACCUUAUUCCUCAAAAAGAUCUCAAGGGAACAGAUAAACUCUAUAGCUUAAAUACGUGGUUAGUAGAGUUACGGAAUGUAAGAUGGGCAAGCACUCUUCCCCAUAUCACCUUUAACACGUCCCAUAACUGAGAGAGGUUGAAUUUACUGCCUUUGUAGGAGGUAAAUUUUCAAGAUCAGGGGAUUCAGCACCAUGGUCAGAGCCACGGAGAUUAAAUCGGGGCCUGAAGGAAUUCCUCUCUGUAGGAGGAAAACA